rnacentral:rRNA from 1 species
UUUAGGGGGCCUGAGAGGGUGAUCCCCCCACACUGGUACUGAGACACGGACCAGACUCCUACGGGAGGCAGCAGUGAGGAAUAUUGGACAAUGGGUGAGAGCCUGAUCCAGCCAUCCCGCGUGAAGGACGACGGCCCUAUGGGUUGUAAACUUCUUUUGUAUAGGGAUAAACCUACCCUCGUGAGGGUAGCUGAAGGUACUAUACGAAUAAGCACCGGCUAACUCCGUGCCAGCAGCCGCGGUAAUACGGAGGGUGCAAGCGUUAUCCGGAUUUAUUGGGUUUAAAGGGUCCGUAGGCGGAUCUGUAAGCAUGUGGUGAAAUCUCACAGCCAUACUGUGAAACUGCCAUUGAUACUGCAGGUCUUGAGUGUUGUUGAAGUAGCUGGAAUAAGUAGUGUAGCGGUGAAAUGCAUAGAUAUUACUUAGAACACCAAUUGCGAAGGCAGGCAUCAUAGCAACAACUGACGCUGAUGGACGAAAGCGUGGGGAGCGAACAGGAUUAGAUACCCUGGUAGUCCACGCCGUAAACGAUGCUAACUCGUUUUUGGGUUUUCGGAUCAUGAGACUAAGCGAAAGUGAUAAGUUAGCCACCUGGGGAGUACGAACGCAAGUUUGAAACUCAAAGGAAUUGACGGGGGCCCGCACAAGCGGUGGAUUAUGUGGUUUAAUUCGAUGAUACGCGAGGAACCUUACCAAGGCCAUAAUGGGAAAUGACAGGUUUAGAAAUAGACUUUUCUUCGGACAUUUUUCAAGGUGCUGCAUGGUUGUCGUCAGCUCGUGCCGUGAGGUGUUAGGCAUAGUCCUGCAACGAGCGCAACCCCUGUCACUAGUUGCCAUCAUUAAGUUGGGGACUCUAGUGAGACUGCCUACGCAAGUAGAGAGGAAGGUGGGGAUGACGUCAAACAUCAUCGGCCCCAUCGCCUUGGGCCACACACGUAAUACAAUGGCCGGUACAGAGGGCAGCAUCACUGCGAAGUGAUGCAAAUCUCGAAAGCCGGUCUCAGUUCGGAUUGGAGUCUGCAACUCGACUCUAUGAAGCUGGAAUCGCAUGUAAUCGCGCAUCAGCCAUGGCGCGGUGAAUACGUUCCCGGGCCUUGUACACACCGCCCGCAUAGCCANGGAAGUCUGGGGUACCUGAAG